GUCACGCUGAAACACACAUAAGGAAGGGAAGAAAAGUUCCAAACCCUUGUUCCCAAUUCAAAUCCACAUAUCUUUCAACUCUGAGUUCUGAUCACCGCACCGUUUGCGGCCAUACAUCCAUGGCGUCGAGCUCUACAAAGUCUAGUAUUUAAUUAGGAUCAAGCUAACUUAGUGGGCUUGCCGGGUUUUGACCCAAUAUUCUGUCAGUGAGAUGCUUGGUGGAGCUUUGGGUACUAUUAUCUUGGAGAUUGAGAAUCUUGGGGCUGAGUUUUGUGCCAACUUGUGGUGUCUUUGGCUUAGGAAAAAAAUCGGCUAAGGUAUGGUUUUGGUUUCUCGUAUGUAAUAUAUAAUGUCUUGUGAAAACUUAGGAUAGAUAACCCUAGGAUAAGAUGAAUCAUAUGUUGGUGUAUAUGUGAUAGUUUUGAUUAUUGAAUUAUGUAUUGUUUGAUGUGGGUAUUAGGUAUGUUGUUGUUAAAUGGAUGUGGCGAAUGGUUGAUGAAAUAAUGAUUAUUAUGAAUAACAAUGAUAUAUUGAUGAUUGAGUGUAGAUGUGGUGUUGAAUGUGAAUGGUUGGGAUUGGAAUUGGUGAAAUUGUGUAUGGGAGUGUUAUUAUGUGAAUGUAAGAUAAUAAUAUGUGAUUUGGUAUGUUUUGGAGUUGUUUGAAGGCUUUGAGUGUUGGUAAUGAGUUAUGAUUUUGGUAAAAUAGAGAUUGGAGAAGUUUUGCAAAAAACUAAAUUUUUGGCCAAGCUUCAGCAAGCCAUAACUCGGCUUCCAGACUCCCAAACUUUUCCAAACUUAUUUUAUAUGAAAUUUGAGUCCGUGAAAUUUAUAUCAUUUGAAGAACGGAUGAAAAAUAACUUUUAACGAAAGAGUUAUGCAUGUCGGAAGUUGGGGAUGUAAAAUGUGAAAUCUGCACCUUAGCAGCUUUUGAAAGAAAAUGAAGGGGGCGCAUACGCGAGCUUAUGGCUGCGUACACGGCCAUUGAUGUGUGAGCAUCUUUCCUAUCUUUUCCUAGUGAAUUUGCAUCUAAUUUGUUGAGUUUAAUAAAGAAUUAAUUAUCUUUUAGCCAAUAUGGAUGCUACUUUAAGUCUUUUGCAACUUUUUUUAUUUUAGGUAGCAUUCAACUGAAUUUGAUGGAAUUUCUACAGCACAAGAAUCAAAGGAGAUGGCAGUGAGGAGCGACGUACACGCGUUCUUGACGCGUGCGCGUGAUUUGGAGCUUUCCAUGACGACGCGUGCACGUGACUGACGCGUACGCGUGAUUUGAAAAUUUGCUCAGCGACGCGUUCGCGUGACCGACGCGUCCGCGUGACUCGCGAAAAAGGCCAUCGACGCGUAUGCGUGACUGACGCGUACGCGUGACAUGCGCCACAUGCAGAAAACGCAAAAACCGCUGGGGUGAUUUCUAGGCCCCAUUUUAGCACCCAAGUUAGGCGCGGAUCCAGUGAAGCCAAGUGGUCCCCACGUUACAAGACGCGGAGUAGUUAGUUAAUUCUAAUUUAAAUUCAAAUUUGAAUUCGAAAAUAGAAAAAGAUAUUAUCUUAAUUUUAGAUAUUAGAUUUUAAAUUAAUUAGGAUUAGUUAUAAAAAGGGGAGACUUCUCUUCUAUAGAGAGAUUCCAUGAGGGGGAUUCCAUUAGGGAAUUCUAUACAAAUUUACAUUCCACAU